AUGAAAUGUGGCCAGUAUGACUGAGGAACUGAAUCUUUCCUUUCAUUUUAAUUAAUUUAAAUUUAAAUGGCCACAUGUGGCUAGUGGCUACCAUAUUGGACAGCAUGGCUCUAGAUGCAUUUCAGUGUUAUUCCCAUGAGAUUCCCAAAUAAACUUCCUGCAUGCAAAUCUCCAUCUCAGCAUCUGUUUCCCUGAGGAGGAACCAACCUAAGAUGAAUUGCAAAUUAAGAUCUCAGCAGAGAGCAGAGGAGAGAUGAGGCAAAAGGGAAUAUUAGAAAGAUUCAAAGCUUGAAAAGGACUUGAUCCACUAUGAGGCCAUUAAUGAAGGAAUGCAGGCUGCCUGUAACAGUUGAAAAUCACCCCAGCCAACACCCAGCAAGGAAAUGGAGACCAUAGUCCUCUAACUGUAUGGAACUGAAUUCUGCCAACAAUGUGAAUGAGAUGGGAAGUGAAGACCCUCCCAGAGCCUCCAGAAAGGAAGAGAGCCCUGCAGACACCUUGAUUUCAGCCUUCUGAAACUUGGAGCGGAGAGCCAGCUGUGUCAACCUGAACCUGAGCUUUUAACCUACAAAACUGUGAAAUAAUGAA